UAAGUAGACUUCCUUACUAUCCUUUACCUAAUUACACAAACCCUUAUUUUCAAUUUCAUAUCAGCGGACACUGGGCAGCAGCACAUCAGCGGCAUUCUGAUUUUAACGGCUCGUGAUAAAGUUACUAGAAAUCUGGAACAUGGAAAUUGCAAAAACUUCAAAGACGUGCUUUUCUAAACUAACAUUUUUUUUUCGGGUUUCGGGUAACCCGAACCCGAAUAAAACCCGUCGGGUUCGGGUUUUCACGGGUUCGGGUUCGGGUAGGCUAUAUCAAUUGGGUUCGGAUUUGAUUUUUACUAAAUCUGUUUCGACCGACCCGAUUGCCAUCCCUACUCUUUGCUGGGCAUCGGCAAUAGCUGUAGUGGGAGUAAUCCACUAUUUUGGGCAAAUCAUCUUCUGACAUGCAGUUAAUGACUUUGGACUCACAAUUGUAAUACCCCCACUCCAAUAUUUUAUAGCUGAUAGUUGCAAGGGACUGGAUUUGGUCUUCUGCAUUUUGUUGGCACAGUAGGUGGCAUAGGAGGUGGUGUUCUUGCCACUAUAAUGGACAGACAUGAAUUUUGGGGUGUUCCAAGAUGGCGUUGUGCCUUCAUUAUGAUGUCAACUUUUUAAUUGGAUUUCUUGUAUUUUCAUUUGUUGUUGAUCCAAGAUGAACAAUGAGCAGUGACAAUACCUCUAAAGCAAGUUCUGACAGGUGAGUGGAAAAUUAUCCGGAGAAGUGGCGUUGAUUAAUAAUUAAUAGCCUUAUUUUCCAUAUCUUGUAAUACUUGUUUACUCAUGCAUUUAAAAGCAUAACCCAAAACUAGGACUAAUAAUCUGUUUGGGAGUGCUGUUAAAAAUUGCUGUGCGGUCAGGAAAAUGUGCUGGUAAAAAAAGUUUUGUUGCAGAAAUCUGAUAACUGUUUGGUAAGUUUUUUGAUAUUUACUUAUUUUAAGUUAUAAUAUAAAAAAAAUAUUUUUUGUGGUGAGGUUUGAUAGUGAAAUUUGUAACAGCUUCCUGCAAAAGCUGAAAGCAGCUUUUUCCAAAAGAAUGAGAGGACCUGCUUUUUCUAAAAGCAGCUUUUCGGCUAAAAGCUGCUGUUCACAAAAGCUGAUUUUAGAUUUACCAAACAGUUUUUCACCUGCUUUUCAGCAAAAGCUGCUGUUGUUGUCUGCAGCAACCCCAAACAGUACCUAAGUGAGCUUUUUAGUAGUACUUGCUUACUCUAUCUCUUCAAUUUUUUACGUAAGCUUUGGUAGAAAAGGGGACUGCUACUCCGACAUCAGUAUGGCUAGAAUCUUGGAAAGCAACGAAAGAUGUCCUUAAGGUUUUGACUACAACAGUGCGGCAACCCUCCUCAGUCUAUUUGCAACUGGAUGUGCCAUCAAAUCUUUCUUGGGUGGUGUAAUAGAAGACUAGAUUACCCGGAUCUACCCUCAUUCUGGACGCAUGAUGUGUGCACAGUUUAAUGCAUUUGUAGGUAUCCCUUUCACCUGGUCCGUUCUUCGUGUAAUUCCCCGGUCAGUCAGAAGCUAUUACACAUUUGAUGUGAAACUUCUUAUGAUGGGCCUUACCAUUAGCUGGAAUGCUAUUGCAGUCAAUGGCCCUAUGUUUGCUAAGGUGGUCCCUGCCAAGCAUUGGACUAUGAUAUAUGCAUUUGAUCGAGCUUUUGAGGGAUCUUUCUCUUCGUUUGCUACUCCAGUUGUUGGAAUUCUUGCAGAGCAGGUAUAUGGUUACAAUCCUAGGCCCCGCCCAGCGCCACCAGUCCCUCUGUCCUACCCCACAGGCGCCCCAUCCUAACCCCAACCCUCAUUGCUCCCUCUCCCUUGUCCAUUCCUCGACCCCGACCUUUCUCAUUACUCCAACAACCUCUCCACUCCUCUCCGGAGACCAAAUCUCUUCUCUAUCUGUCCACAAACUCAUCAUUCUUCUCCAUCCAUGUAAUUUUCGACCUAAUCUAUGUGCUUUGUUAUUAUAUUUUUAAUAAGUCAAUUAAUGCCCCUAGUUGUGGUCAAUCAAUGAAAUCUAGUGAUGGUCGAAAUUAAUGGUGGUAGUGGUAAUUUGAGGUUGAUUUGUAUAUAUGUAUUUAUUUAUUAAAAAAACUGAGCAUUCACAAAAUAUAAUGUUGCAAUCACUGAUUACUACUCCCUCCGUCCCAAAAUAGUUGUCACAUUUGGUUUUGUGCCGGUCAAAUUGACUUAAGUUUGACUGAAAUUUAUUAAUAGUUUAUUAAUUGAUAAAAUAAAAAAAAUAUGUCACCGGAAAUAAUUUUUAAUCUACUUUAAGAUGUAAUUUUCAGUUUUUAAAAUAAUGAGUGAUUGACUUAUAAUCUUUGGUCAAAACUUAGUCAAUUUGACCAACAAAAAUAGAGAUGUGACAACUAUUUUGGGACGGAGGGAGUAGUUUUUAUUAUA